GGUGAGGAUUCAAGUUCUGGCUCUGCUCUUCACUAGAUCAAGGUAUUUAAUCUUUCUGAGCUUCAGAGACAGUCUGAGAGAGCUGUUGUAAAAUAUCGUUUGGAAGAGUGAAUGGUGCAGUUGCAUGGUGCUAGUAUAUGGCAGGUGCCAAAUAAACUGGUUGCCUUCUCCGUCUUUAGUAAAGCAAACAGAAACUCAUCAUAUCAUGUCUCUGUACACAUCUCCUAGUAAGGAACUUACUUUGCCAAUUUGUUCCUCUAUUUUUUACAUAUUCAAUAAGCAUUCCUCUCUACUGGAUCAUUCCAAUCAAUAUAGCAUCAUGUAUUAUUUUUCUGUAUUAAAAUGAUCACUUGACUCUGCUUCUGUGAGUCUUCAUCCCGUUUCUGUCGUCCCCUUUACAUCAAACUUUGAAAGAUUUGUCUCUUCUCAGUGUUUUCCAUUUCUCUCCUCCUUUUCUAUAAAAACACCCUAAGCAGGAUUUCUCCACACUGCUCUAUGGAAAUUGCUCCCUUCAAGGUCACAACUGACCUCCAAACUGCUAAAUCCAGUAGUCAGUUCUCAGUCUUCCUCUUACUUGAUUCAUAGGCCACAUUUGACAUUGGUGAUUUGUUUCUCUUAGAUACAUGUUCUUUAGGUUUUUCCAGGGCUCUAACUGAGUUUCUUCCUGCUUUGCUGGUAGUUUUUUCUUGGUCUCCUUUGUUGGUGCCUUGUCUUCAUGACCUCUCCCUCAGGGGCUACCCCAGGCUCAGUGUGGUCCUUUCCUCUCUUUCCUUAUCCAUUUAUGCCCUUGAUGGUCUCAUCCAAUAUCAGGUUUAAACAAAAUCAAGGUGAUGAAGAGUCAAGAUCGCUCUCCCAACUCCUAGAUUCAAUAUUCAACUGUUUUACAUCUUUAUUUGGAAGUCUUAUAGACAACUCAAGCUGAACAUGUAAGUUAUCUUUCCACCUCACCCACCGUCACAACCUGCUCUGUUCUGCCACCUUCCCAUCUCAAAGAAUAACAGAUCAUUCCUUCUACUUGCUAAGUCCUAAAAACUUUUAGUCAACUCUGUAAGGCAUCUUUUUUUGGUUUAGCAGGGAUUUCUGUGCUCUUAUAAUACACUGUAUGGACUGUUAAUGUGAUAUUUAUCACACUCUUUCUGGUUUGCAUCUUUUUCUGUCUCCUUUUCUUUUUGGCUUAUUUGUACAAUCAACUCCUUGAAAUUAGGGACCCAUUCAUUGUGUGUCCUAGGCAUCUGGUACAAUGCUGAAUAUAAUAAAUGUUUGUGGAAUAAAUGAAUGAAAAAUUUAGGGCAGUGGUACCAUGAUCCAUGUUUCAAAAAAUUAGCUUAUAAUCCUUUAAGAGUAACUAAUAUAAACAUAAAAUAGAAGGAAGUAAGAAAUUAGGUGAAAAAUAUACAGAGAUUUUUCAAUUUUCAGUCUUUAUCUGGCAUUAUGGUUGAAGGUAGAGAUUUUUACCAAGGUCUGGUGAAACAGAACAGACAAACUAAUAGAUCAAUUUUAAAUCUCUUCAGUACACCAAUGUAAGGCAGGGUCAGAAAGGGGAUUGCAGUUGUACACACUGGGAAAAUCUGAGCUCUCAAUCAGAGAGACAUGAAUUGAAUUUCGGUCUUAUCAUUUACCAGCUCAGGGCUUUGGGAAAGUUAUUUAAUCUCCCUGAGCUGAAGCUUCCUCAUCUGUGAAAUGAGCAUAAUAAAUACUCACCUCAAAGAGUUGUUUUGAACAUUAAGUGGAAGAAAAGCCUGGUUUGUCACCAGGACUGAUUAAUAGUAGCUCUCAUUGGUCCCAAGAACAAUGGAUGUCUACCAACAGAGAAUUUCUAUCUCUACAGUGUUCUAUGUCUCUGUUUGUCAAAGUUCUUAUUUAAAUGUGUGUCUUCAUGUGUCUUGUGUUCUGUGUGUGUACUUGCGUUUAUGACUAUAGGUUUGGGAGCUUGGAGAGGAAAAAAUCUUUGAUCAAUGGUUCUCACCAUCUAUCUACAGAAAUGUGUGGCUCAGGUUGGCUUUUUCAACCCAUCCUCUCAACAACUUGCCCUGCAUCACCCACUGUCAAGUCUAUUGCCUUCUGCUUUGCUCAUACUAUUUCUGAGAAAGGUACAUAGAGAAAGCCAUGAUGAGGCUGCAUUCUUUAACCUCAGCUGUGAGCUCUUCCCAGGCUUAGUAUCCCUGUGCUUUGUCAUGCUGCUUUGGCAUGACUCCACCUGAGAAACCAAUAGUUACAGUCUUGAGUGGCCCCAGUAAUCCUUAUGUGCAUAUCCCCAAAGCCAACUUUGUGGGAAUCGAUUUCAUUAACAUGUAAAGCACAGUGCAAAUAUUAAAUUUCUAUAUGAAAACAGAGUCUAAGCAAGCAAAUCUUAACCUUGUAAAUGACUAACUUCCCCAUUUACUGCCGUAAAUAAUUAUGGACUCUCCACCCUAAUUCUACUAUGUUUGUUGCCUACAAGAUCCCAGUCCUGAUAUUCUGCCAGGUCUCCAGCCUAGCAGCAACUCAACUGGGCUCAUCAAGUUGAACAUAUCCUUUCUUUCUCACUCUUCCCUAUAAUUCACAAUAGCUGCACCUAUCAAAAUGUUCAUAAAUAUUGUGUUGAAUGGUAGCCAAGAAAGAAUACUCGUCUGUGUGCUUUGUACCCUAGGUUUCCUACAGUCAUCUAACUACAGGUGUAAUCAAUAUUUUGAAGCAUAUCCACCCAACUCUUAGAAAUGUAAGUCCAGUUAUUAUCUUUCUUCUGGUCAGUGGUCAGAUCAUCCCCCUAUAAUGUCAUGACCGUUAGUGUUUAAUAUUUUUUUUUCCCUUGGCAGACAGCAGAUUUCUUGAAGACAGGAGCAGUGUCUAAUUAACAUUUGAAGGAAAAGUGUGGAGAAGUGACCCUGGAUUUUAAUUCUAGUCAAAUGAACUUGUACACAUUAUUUACUCACCUGCAAUUUGCUUUGUUUAUAUUUAACUGGAAACAUGAAUAUUCAAACCACAGGCCGUUGGGGAAAUUAAUGUGAUUCUGAAUAUAAUAUGCAUGAUAGCAAAUGGAGGCCAGUAAAUAUUUCCUUUCUUCUCUUUUGGGUUCUUGUUUCUAGUGUUCUUUCUCUCUCUUUCUUCCUCUCUCUAUCCUACCUUUAUUUCUCAGCAUCCUACUUUAUUCAUGGUAAGCACUGAUGAAAGGUCACAUUAAUGAAGAACCAGUACAGAUAAAGAUAAGAUCAAGUCUUUCAGCCUGAUCUCAUAGUCCAUUUACUUUUCAGCAUUUCUUGUCCUGGGCCCACAUUAUAAACUACUUCAAAUUCUCUUAGCCUUAACUUUUAUGUAGCUACUGCUUCAGCAACCAGUUUCAUGCAGGUUGGACCAGAUUCAUCAGGUGCAACCUGAUAGCAUCUCACCUAAACAAGCACUGAAUACCUUUCACUUCCUGUCCUGGAGAUUCUCUGUCACUAAAGAUCGAAAUGUGCUGUGCACACACCUGGAAGUGUGGAGGAAGUACUGAGGGGGACCAUUCUUGACUGAAGGAGUCAGGACUGAUACGUAAAUUGGUUCACCCACCUAUUCCCUGGGGAGACAGUUUUGAGAACUAUUUCAUGAAGCUCUUUGGAAAGUCUCUCAGGAUUGAUGAUCAGGUGGCUUUUCCUCCCUUGUUUCAUGUCCUUGACCCUCCUUUGUCCUCCUGGGGACCACAUUCCUAAAUAAAUUAUCUGCCUCAAAGUCUUUGCCUCAGUCUUCACAUUCAGGAAACUCAGUCUAAGCUACUUCACCCACGAAAGCAGACUACUUCCUGGUGCAUAGUGCAAUCAAUAGUGCAUAAUUGUUGACUUCAAGUACCCACUGCUUUCCAGUGGGAACAGAUAAAAGAUUCACCAGUAUUUUCCCUCUGAGACUGAGCUGUUGAACACAGUUUUUCUUCCUCUUCAGUCUCUGCCCCAUUUGCGUCCCCUUGUGUUUUGAAUGAUGUAACCAUAACACAGAAACACUUGGCUGUAGUUCAUUGGCUAAAGGUUGGACAUCUGACCCAGAGGGAAUUGAUUCCUUGGCAUGGCUGAAUUGAUCAUGUUUGCCACCUAGUAUUUGAUAUCAGUAUAUAGUAAUACUAAUUUAUUUUGGUUGAAUUUUUAACUGGAAGUGUUAAAGCAUCAGUGAGAAGAUACAAGGGAAUAGAGGAAACAAGACUGCCAGUAAAGAUGACUCAACGCUAUGAGAGACUCAAUAAAAAUAAGACAUGAUGAGGUAGAGCUUUCCUAUACCCCCCUCCUGGGGCAUUGCUAUUCCUGCUUCUAGAACUUAUUGAAGAGCAAUUAUACUUCCUGCCCUUUGGUUCUAUGAGAUGUACCCUUGCCCUUAUAAUAAAUUCCCUAUGAGCUUAAGGUUAUGUCAGUGGCUUUAUUUCCCUUGGAAUCAAAUGCUCUCUAAAGUAGUCAAGGUAAUGAUUAGUUCUUUUACCCACUGGAUGGCCAGAUCCUUAAAGGCCAAGUUUGUAUUCUGCUCAUAAUUGUUUCCCCAAUAUCUCACUUACAGCUCUACAUGGUAGAUGCACAUAUUUGAUGAAUAACUAACUAAAAGAAUAAUCUCUUCCUGGAGUUCCCUUCAUGGCACAGUGGUAAUGAACCCGACUAGUAUCCAUGAGGAUGCAGGUUUGAUCCCUGGCCUCACUCAGUGGGUUAAGGAUCCAGUGUUAAUGUGAGCUGUGGUGUAAGUCACAGACGAGGCUCAGAUCCCUACACCAUUGCUGUGGCUGUGGUGUAGGCCGGUAGCUAGAGCUCUGAUUCUGUAUGCAUUGGGUAUGGCCCUAAAAAGAUUUAAAAAAGAAGAAGAAGAAUCUCUUCCUUUAUUCCCUUUCUUUCACAAUAUUUUCCCUGGCCACCUGAACAGCAGUGUAUAGAUCGACUCUGCAUCCUUCUGCUGUACGAGGUUUUCCUUCCAGCUGUAACCUUCUACUUUCUCAUCCACCCCACAUGCUGACCCAGGUCAUCCAUUGUUCAGUCUAUCACUUUGGUUUGGCUCCAUGCCAGCCACUGUUGCUGAAAAGGAGCCACAGAAUUGUGAUGGUCAUGUCCAUUUCAGGUUGAUUCUUUUUAACCUCAGUUUGGGUCUGCCUACAGUUUAGCAGCCCUUGACUUCCUCUAAAGGGAUCUGAUGUAAUCCCAAAGCAAGAGUUCCAAACCUUUUUUCUUGUUAUUCAAACUAUUUACCUACACAUUCAUGACUGCAUAGCCUCCUGCCUCACUGGAACAGAAUUGGUGAGGUAUGGUAAGAGUUAUCUUAAACUGUACCUCAUUGCUAUUCUGUAUUUUCACCUACCUUCUCUUCCAUUGGUCUUCCUCUACUGUUUGCCCAAAUUAAUAACUUUACUUCUACACUAGGUCCCCAUGCACAUCUCUUUUUAAAGAUUGACUACUCACUUCUCUGUUUUUCUUUCUUCAGAGAAUAUUGGAAAGUUAUGAACUUACAUUGCUGUCUGAGUUUCUCAUCUGCUUAGCUCAGUGAUGUGGACAUGUUCUCGAAUUAUUUAUGACCCAUUUGUUGCCCAGAUAUAAGGGCUAGGUGAGCUUGAUCAGCCAGGCCUAACUGCCACCCUUAUCUUCAGCUGAGAGUCACAGUCUGAAAGCCAGCAAUCUUCAACAAAAGUGUCAUUUCCAAGCACUUCAGCAGAAAUAGACUCUUCACUUUGUUAUUUGGAAGGGGGCUGGGAAGAAAAUGAACAAACACAUCCAGAAUGAUGUUUUUUUUCUUUUGACCAAAACUUCAGACAUUAGAGACAUUGCAGUGAGUUCCCUGAGCUGCAAAGUUUCUUUGGUUGGAAUGGCUUCAUUUUAACAGUGGAGUUUCAAGUGUCCAUUCUUUGCUCUUAAAAGUGACCAGUUAAUGAGAAGGGGACAAUUCUAAUGGUGAUAGUAAUAAUGGCAAGCAGGGUGGGCUAAAUGCUAUCACAAAGAAACCAAGGGUGGGUUGGCAGUUGCAUUCCUAGUGGGGCAGCCCUCCUGUGCACUUUGGCUCCAAAGAACAACUCAGGGAUGCAGACUCCUUCCAUCUUGGAAAGCCCUCAGACUCAUCCCUAAGAUUCCAGGUGAUGCAGAAGGUAAAGACAAAACAUGGUGAGCCCUUACCAUAUUAAAUUCCUUGUCAGGAAUAGACACACACCAGUUCUGCUCAUAUUGGCCAAGAAGGAGAAACAGGGUCCUACACAGAGUAAAUGAAAGGAGACUGGGAAACAUCAUCACUGGUUUGACAACUACUUCCCCGCACUCUAUACCACAGUAAGGAAACAUGAAUAUUUAAUAAUCUGAAUUUCACAUGGUUUGGUAUGUGUUGAGCACUUUUUAAAGUUAAUUUACAUAAUACCUUUUUACUACAGGUAAAACUAUAACAUCAACCACUCUUUCUUCCUGUUAAAUAGAAUCGUCAUGAGCUAAAUAGGUUAGUAAGUGCGAAAUACUUGAAUAUGCCCCCAAUUUGGCUCUAAAAAGCAAAAAAAAAAAAAAAAAAA
rnacentral:lncRNA from 1 species